GAUGAAGAACGUAGUGAAAUGCGAUAAGUAAUGUGAAUUGCAGAACUCAGUGAAUCAUCGAAUCUUUGAACGCACAUUGCGCCCCCUGGUAUUCCGGGGGGCAUGCCUGUCCGAGCGUCAUUGCUGCCCUCAAGCACGGCUUGUGUGUUGGGCCCCGCCCCCCGGCUCCCGGGGGGCGGGCCCGAAAGGCAGCGGCGGCACCGCGUCCGGUCCUCGAGCGUAUGGGGCUUCGUCACCCGCUCCGUAGGCCCGGCCGGCGCCCGCCGGCGACCCCCCUCAAUCUUUUCAGGUUGACCUCGGAUCAGGUAGGGAUACCCGCUGAACUUAAGCAUAUCAAUAAGCGGAGGA
rnacentral:misc_RNA from 1 species